AUUCCAUUCCGUGAAUUCCACAGCCCCCACCCCUGCCCUCAGCCUCCUUCAAAGUGGCCGCUGGGGCUGGGGUCUGUCUUUGCAGAGGUGCCAGGCCACAUGCCCUGCCCACCUCUACCAGCUAUGCCGCCUCUGAAGUUCCUCCAGCGGCACUGAGGAGGGGCCCUGUGGUCGAGGGUGCAGUUAAACGAGGCCCGACCGGGUAGUUGAGCUCAGCUUGGCUGUACUUGUCUUCCUUGGACCUGCUGGGCACCCCCAGGCCUCUCUUUCCAGAGCCACAGGGGCCACCUGACAUCUCACAGGCUCAUCUACCUUCCAAGACCAGCUCAUCACUUCUGGCACCCCUCUCUAUAGUUGCCUCCCAAAGUCUCCCAUCUUAUACCCACGGCCCCCUGGGCAUCAAGCUGGACAUCUGGGAACAACCUUCAGCACCAAGUCCCCCCACCACUCAUCUGGACUUGCAAAAGUCUCCUUACUGGUCUCGCUGUCAUCCAGGAGCCAUGGUGAAUUACUUAAAAAUUCUUUUCUUCAGCGAGGCGCAGUGGCUCAUUCCUAUAAUCCCAGCACUUUGGGAGGCUGAGAAUGCAAUACAGCAAUGAGAGUGGCCAGCCACUGCUACUACAUGCAGCCCCAUGGAGGACUCUCACAGAUACAACUCUGAACGAAAGAGGCCAGGCGUGAACAGCACAGGUGGAACUGAGGAGUCCCAACCCAGGGCAGGAAGGGCACAAGAACAUCGUCCUGUUUGUGGACUCACCUGAUGUUUGCUGAGUGCUCGCUGUGUGCCAGGCCCUCUUCCCAGCCACACCGUUCCCUCUAGAGGACUGUCACUCUGCAGGUGCUGUUUUCCCUGCCUGCCUUCGGUGCCUUCCAUAGCUGGGCACCCUGAUGAACUCAUCUUCAGAAUGCAG
rnacentral:lncRNA from 1 species